UACGUAGGGGGCAAGCGUUGUCCGGAAUUAUUGGGCGUAAAGAGCGCGUAGGCGGUCCGAUAAGUCGGCUGUGAAAGUCAGGGGCUCAACCCUUGGAAGCCGGCCGAUACUGUCGGGCUAGAGUCCGGAAGAGGCGAGUGGAAUUCCCGGUGUAGCGGUGAAAUGCGCAGAUAUCGGGAGGAACACCAAUGGCGAAGGCAGCUCGCUGGGACGGUACUGACGCUGAGGCGCGAAAGCGUGGGGAGCAAACAGG
rnacentral:rRNA from 1 species